CGCCUGUAACAAAGCCGUGAAAUCCUCCUUUUCCAACAGAAAAAGGCGUAAAUUUUCUGGAACAAAGUUGUCGGCAGAAAACGCAUGUCUCGUUUCCAAAAAGCCGAUAAUUCCGCGUUCCUCACUCAACUCACGUUCAUCAUCCCACUCCAUGUCUACACUACAUACGCCAUAUCUACAUACACAACUCAACCGCCUUUCCGAUCGCCGCCUCGGCGGGGAUCGGCGCCGUCCGUACUUGAGCUCCGGUCAUGUCUCGGCAAUCGUGCCAAAUCAAAUCGACUAGUGAACAGUUGUUGAAUUCCGGUUCGAUUCGAGGAGGUGCGAUAAUCACGGGAGAGUUAUGGAAUUAUCUAAACGGCUCAGUUUCAUGCUACAGUUCACUAGAGAUAUGCAGGAAGGAUGAUUCUGACAUUACUUGCAAGGAUUUAAAAGCAUUCGAUCGGAAUUUCUCAAACCAGAGGCUAGACUAUACUCAGAAUCCUAAUGAGAACCCACUGGAUGAACAUAUCAUUUAUUUCUUUCUGACAUUAAAACAGUAAUCUGCAAUCUGAUAACAACGAUAAAAGAUAAAUUGGCACAAAGACUUAUAACAAAACUGGUUCAUUAAAAGUCUAGAUGCCAUAAGGUUGAUGCUUGCUUCACUUCUUUGGGUCUGUUUUCUUCGAGUUGCAAUCAGCAGUAGUUUUGUUUGCAGCGGAGAUGGAAGCAACAAUUCUAUGCGUCAACUCGGUAAGCAGAGCCUUGUUCUCCUGUUUCAGCUCCGCAGCUUGCUUCCUAAGCCUCUCAUUCUCCUGAAAGAUUUUGCAGUUCUUUAAGUACAGUUCUGAGUUGUUCUUGUCCAUGCUGGGUGCUUGCUUUUGCCUGGAACAAAAAUAAACAAGAAAAGCAAUUGUCAGACAACCUGUUCUCAGUAUCAGUAAAUAUAUUCUCUAAUCUAGUAAUGAAAGAGUGUUUGUGUGAUGGAAAUAUGUGUUGGAUGUUGGAUAGCUGAAAACUUGUAAACCUUUGUCGAUAUUACUGAUUAUCUGUGUGUUGUUUUGA